GACGAACGCUGGCGGCGUGCCUAAUACAUGCAAGUAGGACGCAGUUGCGAACGGGUGAGUAACGCGUAGGUAACUACCUAUUAGAGGGGGAUAACUAUUGGAAACGAUAGCUAAUACCGCAUACUAGUAGAUGGACAUGCGUUGUAUUAGCUAGUAGGUAGUGUAAUGGCCUACCUAGGCAACGAUCCAUAGCCGACUGUACAGGGUGAUCGGACUGACUGGGACUGAGACACGGCCCAGACUCCGUCGGGAGGCAGCAGUAGGGAAGCUUCGGCAAUUGGGGGAAGCCUGCUCGAGCAACUCCGCGUGAGUGAAUAAGGUUUUCGGAUCGUAAAGCUCUGUUGUUAAGGAAGCGGUACUUAACCAGAAAGGGACGGCUAACUACGUGCCAGCAGCCGCGGUAAUUC
rnacentral:rRNA from 1 species